UUCGGUCGACGUACGUCACGAAGGAGUUAGUUAGUAUACUGGGCUCAGGAUGAACGCUGGCGGCGUGCUUAACACAUGCAAGUCGAAACGGAGUUUUUAAACGGAAGUUUCGGAUGGAAGUUAGAAACUUAGUGGCGGACGGGUGAGUAACGCGUGGGUAACCUGCCUCAUACAGGGGGAUAACAGUUAGAAAUGACUGCUAACACCGCAUAAUAUAGCGAAACCGCAUGAUUUUUGCUAUCAAAUAUUUAUAGGUAUGAGAUGGGCCCGCGUCUGAUUAGCUAGUUGGUGGGGUAAAAGCCUACCAAGGCGACGAUCAGUAGCCGGCUUGAGAGAGUGACCGGCCACAUUGGGACUGAGACACGGCCCAAACUCCUACGGGAGGCAGCAGUGGGGAAUAUUGGACAAUGGGGGAAACCCUGAUCCAGCGAACCGCCGCGUGAGUGAAGAAGUAUUUCGGUAUGUAAAGCUCUAUCAGCAGGGAAGAUAAUGACAGUACCUGACUAAGAAGCCCCGGCUAACUACGUGCCAGCCGCUGC
rnacentral:rRNA from 1 species